GUAAAAUUAAUUAUGUUAUCUUGAUGGGGUAGAGUUUUUAAGGUGAAUAAAAAUGU
rnacentral:tRNA from 1 species